GCGGGAGUGCCGGAGUGGUCAAACGGGCUAGGAUGAGGUCCUAGUGGCUUUAUGUCUACGCAGGUUCGAACCCUGUCUCCCGCA
rnacentral:tRNA from 1 species